GCGAAAGCAUCUCGGUGCUUCCCUGCUCACCCUGGGGCUGAGCAUCCCCCGGUGCGGCAGAGGCAGAUGGAGGGCACCCGCCCGCCUCCAGCACCCGCCUCGACAUGAGCUGACCUUUCCCCUCUCUAAAAUUUCAAAGCUGGAGCUGGCGGCGCUGAGCAGACCGCGUGCCAUCUGCGGGCUGACCCCGGCCCCGCACUGCCCGGUGGCAUCGCUAAUGGGAGGUGAAAGGUCCCCUCCGCCCCACGCUGCCACCGACCCACCGGGAUGGGCUGGGAUGCGACGGGACCCGAUGGGAUGCGAUGGGAUGGGACGCUCCCGAGAGCUGCGGAUCGCACCUCGGGCCACGUCGGGUGUAGUCGCCUUGCUGAGAAAAUAUUUGCUCAGUGCCCAAAUGCAAAGCGUAGGCAAACAGCCCCGUAUGGAAACGCGGUACCCGUGCACUGCGCGAUGCUGCGUUUUGCAUCUUCCAGACUGGGGGCGUGGAUGGAGCCUUCCUAGGGACAAAGGGAAGGGUGUACGAGGCUGCCCCAUAGGUGCCAGUGGGGAAAUGAGGCACCGUGGAAGGGAUAAGCACUGAGAAUGGAGCGGGUGUCGUCGUCCUCCCCCCGCCUCCCCAGCAGCAGCGGAGUUCUGAGUUCUGGGAGUGGGUUGAGAACUGCCACAACGUGGGGAGGAGUGGCAGCCCCCACCCAAAAUGGAUUUUUUUUCCUUAUUCUUCUUUUUUUUUUUUUUUUAACAUUUUUUUCCUCACUUUUUAAGAAUUAUUUUCAGCGCUUUCUGCACAAAAAGAAAAAAAAAACAACAACCAAACGUUGUAACAUAGCACGGGAAACAAACAAACAAACAAACAAACAAACAAACAUACAUACAUACAAACCCAAACCCCGGCCCUGCAAAACAACCACAUAGCCACCCUUUCGUGGCCGGCUCCCACUCUGUCCUCAGUCUCCCAUUGCCGGGCAUCCCCGUUCCUCACCACCCCUUAAAGAAGCAGCGGCUACCGACCCCACGCCGGGACACGCGUGGGGCGGUUCUGUUCUGUGCGGCCACGCGUGCGGGGAGCGCUGCCACGGACGGGACGCGCACACGAGUGAGUUUGGGACACGCCGUGGGCAGCCCCUCGUGUGGCUCCGUCCCGCGUGGGCUGAGCCCUGCUGUCUCCGUUCGCUGUUUCGUUUCGUUUUUCGCCCGCGAUUCACCCGCAGCGCUGCUGAGGUGGGGACACGCGUGGGCAGCGCAGCCGCGGCUGAGCCCUCGCUGCCGUUCUGCGGGGAAUUCCUCUUUCUGUCGCAUCUCGGUGCGUGGAAACGCGACCGUCAGUUUCCGAUCGCCGCCGAGAGUUCACACGCAUUUACCGGGAGCGCGGAAGCCGGAGGCCCACGCGUGUCGGGAACGCGGGUGGCAGCGGGGAUCGCCUGCUCCUGCAGCCCCGUUCGGGGUGGGGGAGCUCGUGAGAAGGGGGCAAAAAACUGCAGCCGGCAUCGCCUCGGGUCGUGGCAAAUUCCGUUCUGCUGAGAAACGGGAAGAAAACGAGUGGGAACGGUGGGACACGCAACAGCAAGUGGAUGGGAAAGGAGCCCUCUCCAACACAAACCUCAUUGACUAAUGGGGCGGUUUUG
rnacentral:lncRNA from 1 species